UACGUAGGGCGCAAGCGUUGUCCGGAAUUAUUGGGCGUAAAGAGCUCGUAGGCGGCUUGUCACGUCGGUUGUGAAAGCCCGGGGCUUAACCCCGGGUCUGCAGUCGAUACGGGCUAGCUAGAGUGUGGUAGGGGAGAUCGGGAAUUCCUGGUGUAGCGGUGAAAUGCGCAGAUAUCAGGAAGAACACCCGUGGCGAAGGCGACACGCUGGGCCGUACCUGACACUGAGGCGCGAUAGCAUGGGGAGCAAACAGG
rnacentral:rRNA from 1 species